GGGGGUGAAAUUGGAUUCGACGGAGUUAAUUGUUCUUUGAACUGCGUGUCGUGAUUCCGUGGUCACGUUAAACAACGGCAAAAAUAGUAACUGGCGAAUAUAAUUACGCUUUAGCUGCUUAAUUAAUAAUUAGCAGCCGUUCCUGACUUUCUCUCAUAUCGGGAUUUCAACGAACGUCGAUUAGAUAUGAUAGCUGAAUCGAGUUUCUGGGUAGAGGAGGCGAAUUUUUACCGGAAUAGUUUUAUUGAAGCUCGUCUAUUAGCGUCAAUAAGAUGAAAUUAAAAAUUAGACUACACAUGUAGAAGUUCUCUGAAGGUUUUCAUCGGACGCGGGUUCGACUCCCGCCACCUCCACCA
rnacentral:tmRNA from 1 species